CCCGCCCGCGCAUUGGGGGCGGGGCGCCUGCAUCUCCUGCCCGCCCCCGGGAGGUCUGGCCUUGCCGGUGCCCGCGCUCCCACCCGCAGCCAUGGCCGAACCCACCCAGGGAAGGGGCUAUAGGCUGGAGCUGCCCCUGACGCUCCUGCCCGCCUCCUUGGCCGCAGUAGGAAUUUGCUCCGAAGAAUGAGUUCAGAAAUCAGUCCCCGCCGCAGACCGCACCCGGGAGAUCCUGUCACGCUGCGGGGGCCCAGGUGGCAGGUUUCCAGCCUCGUUACGUGCAGGCAGAGCCCGCGCGUGCCAGCCGCGACAUUUUCAAGCUAUUCACUCCUAAAGAGUGUUAUGGACAGAUGAACAUACGAACUAUCCCCCUUUACAUAUAGAGAAUUGGCUGUAUCAGAAAUCGGCCUGAUGAGGCCAGUAAUUUGGCAGAUAAAUUCCCAUGCACGUAUGCAGCCACAGCGCAGCAUGAGGGCAGUGAGGAGCAGAGCCCAGCAGCUUGGAGAACUGUGUGCAGCUGACCAACAUGGCUACCAGAUACAUCCCUGAAACAUGGAAGAUGCCGAAUUUUAGCCAAUUUUGUAUUUAAACUUCAUCACUGAACAAUAAGAAAGAUUUCUACACCUCCCUGUCUGCCAUCUGACACCACCAAGGAAAGAAUCCUGCCUUAUCUGCACAUCAAAGAGCAACUCAAAGACACUCUCAUGGACCCAGAGGAACAGACUUCCACCUUCAGCUUCCUCUGCAAAAAUGAAGUUAUUUUCUACCUAUGGGGACUUUUUAUCAUUAAUUUUCCCUGAGCCUGAGGGAGAAGGGCAUUCAUGCCCACAAGCUUGCAGAAAAAGAUAAUUUUUUUGUGAUUUCUUAGUUGGUCUAAUAAAAGGUAUCAUCUCUGAACCAAGA